UACGUAGGGGGCAAGCGUUGUCCGGAAUCACUGGGCGUAAAGGGCGCGUAGGUGGCGCGACAAGUCAGUGGUGAAAGUUCGACGCUCAACGUCGAAUCGGCCACUGAUACUGUUGGGCUUGAGCACUGUAGAGGCAGGUGGAAUUCCGGGUGUAGCGGUGGAAUGCGUAGAGAUCCGGAAGAACACCGGUGGCGAAGGCGGCCUGCUGGGCAGUAGCUGACGCUGAGGCGCGACAGCGUGGGGAGCAAACAGG
rnacentral:rRNA from 1 species